rnacentral:rRNA from 1 species
GACGAACGCUGGCGGCGUGCUUAACACAUGCCAGUCGAACGGAAAGGCCCUGCUUUUGUGGGGUGCUCGAGUGGCGAACGGGUGAGUAACACGUGAGUAACCUGCCCUUGACUUUGGGAUAACUUCAGGAAACUGGGGCUAAUACCGGAUAGGAGCUCCUGCUGCAUGGUGGGGGUUGGAAAGUUUCGGCGGUUGGGGAUGGACUCGCGGCUUAUCAGCUUGUUGGUGGGGUAGUGGCUUACCAAGGCUUUGACGGGUAGCCGGCCUGAGAGGGUGACCGGCCACAUUGGGACUGAGAUACGGCCCAGACUCCAACGGGAGGCAGCAGUGGGGAAUAUUGCACAAUGGGCGGGAGCCUGAUGCAGCAACGCCGCGUGCGGGAUGACGGCCUUCGGGUUGUAAACCGCUUUCGCCUGUGACGAAGCGUGAGUGACGGUAAUGGGUAAAGAAGCACCGGCUAACUACGUG